rnacentral:rRNA from 1 species
UACGAAGGGGGCUAGCGUUGCUCGGAAUCACUGGGCGUAAAGCGCACGUAGGCGGAUUGCUAAGUCAGGGGUGAAAUCCCGGAGCUCAACUCCGGAACUGCCUUUGAUACUGGCGAUCUUGAGUCCGGGAGAGGUGAGUGGAACUGCGAGUGUAGAGGUGAAAUUCGUAGAUAUUAGGAAGAACACCAGUGGCGAAGGCGGCCAUCUGGCUCGGUACUGACGCUCAGGUUCGAAAGCGUGGGGAGCAAACAGG